rnacentral:rRNA from 1 species
UACGGUGGGGGUAAGCGUUGUUCGGAAUUACUGGGCGUAAAGGGCUCGUAGGCGGCCAACUAAGUCGGACGUGAAAUCCCUCAGCUUAACUGGGGAACUGCGUCCGAUACUGGAUGGCUUGGAUUUGGGAGAGGGAUGCGGAAUUCCAGGUGUAGCGGUGAAAUGCGUAGAUAUCUGGAGGAACACCGGUGGCGAAGGCGGCAUCCUGGACCAAUAUUGACGCUGAGGAGCGAAAGCCAGGGGAGCAAACGGG